rnacentral:misc_RNA from 1 species
AGCCCCUUUUACAGGUUCUGUAUCUUUCUAUUUUUCAUUUUUAUUUUUUUUCCCUUUUAAUUUACUAAUAAUUAUUUAUUUUCCAUAGACAAGAUUUUCAUAGCUUUAGCCAGGGUGAAUCAUAGUUUCAGCGAGUGAAUUUCCUAGAAGAAAUACAUAAAGAAAGAAAAUCAACUUUUUUUUAUCAAUUUCAUUUUGAAAAUAGACUUCGUGUGCAUUUCAUUUGUGAAAUGGAUUUUCCAUCGGUGUUUUGUUGAAAAAGGCGAAAGAAAAAGGGAUUUCUGUGAAGGUUUGAUCUGUUAGGGUUUGGUUUUUUUGGGGCGUUGUUGAUUUGAUUGUUGAUUAUUGAGAGGGACAUGGAUAAGAAGAAGUUGGCAGUGCCUUUAGUUUGCCACGGGCAUUCGCGUCCUGUUGUGGAUUUGUUCUACAGUCCUGUUACUCCUGAUGGCUUUUUUCUCAUAAGUGCCAGCAAAGGUAUUUUUUUGUUUUUUUCAGGUUAUUUGUUGUUCAACUCUGAAUCUGGUCUCAAUUACAUUUUUGGUGGAAUGGGUUUUUUUUAGGCAGUCAUUUUGUAUUACUUUUCAAGGUCAAGCUCUCCUGUCACCUGUUGUUACUGUGAAAUUCUAUUCAAUAACAUGAAUUUUGAAUUCGGUUUUAUUUGCAUAAUCUUUUAUUAUUUUUUAAAGGUAUAGUAUCGUUUUGUUACCUUUGAUUUUUGAAUUUGGGUCUUCCUUUUAUGUACAGGUCGCAUGGUUCAUAUGGUCUUAGCUGUAUUAUCUAUCGUAAAUUUUGUUUUGAUUUCAACUUUGAAUUGGAUUUAGAUGGGCAUUUAGUAAUCAUUCUGUCAUCUGCAAGUUCAAAUAUUGUAUAUGGAUUUGUUCAGUUUGUACAGGUAAUUAUACUGUUUGUUAACUGUGAAUUUGUGUUCUCUUUGCUUUUUACACCUACUACUUCAGUACAACUGCAAAUUUAGGCUUAAAUUUGGACAUCAAGUAUUUUUAUAGAGUUAUUUUGUUCUGAAAUUGGGCUUUCCUUGCAUCAGUUAGCAAUAGCGUUUGAGUACUUAAAAUGUAAAAAUUUAGAUCACAUUAUGUAAAUAUGUGAAACUGUUUAAUUUAAUCUUAUCACUUGAUGUUGGUAGUCUAAAAUUUCACCUUGAAAUUUAUGUCUACUUUCAAUGUCUCUAAACAAUAUUUGCAUGUAAUUAGAUACUUGAACAAUAAAAAUUGUGACUCUUUAUAUCUUAUAAUCACCUAAAUUUAGUGGUGUAAACAAACCAAGCUGAGCUUUGAAGAGCUCAAGCUUGGUUUGUCAAAAUUUUUUCGAGCUUGAUUCGAGCUCGAGCUCAGCUUGUGUCAAACUCGAACUAAAUAUCAAUAAAUUUAAGCUUGGCUUUUUUAGAAAAUGAGCUCCAAACGAGUCAAGCUAAGUCGAACUUUUAUCGAAAUGAGUCUCGAGUAGCUUGCGAGUAGCUUAACUCAUUUACAGAGCAAGUUUUAGUUUUAGGUUAUGAAGUUUACACUACGUAGUUUUGAUUAGUUCUCAUAUAAAAAGUAGCGGAUUUUUUCAUAAAAAAUUAAAUUUAAAUUACAAAUAACAAUAUUUUAUAAAUACAUUUACAUAUUAAUAUGUCAUAAUUUUAAACAAUAUAUUAUUUUUAGAA